GACGGAGGUGGCGAGCGUUGUUCGGAAUCACUGGGCAUAAAGGGCACGUAGGUGGCCCAGCAGGUCAAGGGUGAAAUCCCCCGGCUUAACCGGGGAACUGCCUUUGAAACCACUGAGCUUGAGCGGAAGAGGGGAGAGUGGAACUCGUAGUGGAGCGGUGAAAUGCGUAGAUAUUACGAGGAACGCCGGUGGCGAAAGCGACUCUCUGGCUUCUUGCUGACACUGAGGUGCGAAAGCCAGGGGAGCGAACGGGAUUAGAUACCCCCGUA
rnacentral:rRNA from 1 species